rnacentral:rRNA from 1 species
UACAGAGGUCUCAAGCGUUGUUCGGAUUCAUUGGGCGUAAAGGGUGCGUAGGCGGCGCGGUAAGUUGGGUGUGAAAUCUCGGAGCUUAACUCCGAAACUGCAUUCGAUACUGCGGUGCUUGAGGACUGGAGAGGAGACUGGAAUUCAUGGUGUAGCAGUGAAAUGCGUAGAGAUCAUGAGGAAGACCAGUGGCGAAGGCGGGUCUCUGGACAGUUCCUGACACUGAGACACGAAGGCCAGGGGAGCAAACGGG